rnacentral:lncRNA from 1 species
GUGCAAAAUUCCUGAUUGGCAACCUCCCAUAACAGAUAUUGUCCUCCAUUUAGCACAGCUUUGCACAUACUAGCCCAAUAUGCUCGAGUCAUGUUCAAGUUGGUAAUGGAUUCGACCAUACUUACAGUGAAGGGUGUUUGAGGACCAUAGGUUGUUACAGCCUCUUUCAGCUGCUUCACUGUUUUGAAAUCUAAAGAAUGGUGAAUUUUCUGCCCUCCUGCCUCCUCAAAUACAGGGCAUGCUAAUCUUUGAGGUCCUGUCUCAGGAUCCCAUCUAUCAACUAUGGGGUUUGAGGGCCACUCAGCAUAUGUUGUCUCCAGAGGUGGAUCUAUUGGUUGUAUUACACUGUCUUGUGAUAGAAUGGUGUUGAUAGCUUUUUAGCCUCUAAAAUUUCUUCCCCUUGCUGACUAUCUCGAGAGGCCUCCUCUUUUUCCUGAUCUAAUAUGUCUUCUACCAUAAUCUGAACUAAAACCUUUGGACUAGGCAAACAAAAUCGUAUCAUCAUCCACAAUUGCAAUGUGCCAACUGGCAAAGUUCCUGGGUUUUUCUUUUCCCUCUUCCUUAAGUCUUCACCAUGAUGGUCCCAUUGUGAUAUAUUCAACAACUCCUCCUUUAAAAGCCAUGGGCUACAUUUUUGUAUCGUAUCAAUGUAUGCCCUAACUGUUCUUGGUUUUACUGGGGUGCCUCCUUCCUCUAGCAAUUUACUUAACACUCUUUCGGUUUGUUUUUUGAUAAUUUCUGACCCCAUAUUUCUGCUACAAAGAUAUUGUAACCCAACAAGAUAACACAAAACAAAACCGAAACAGAAUGAAACAAAAAUGGAACAAAAAUGCAUUGUAUCAAUUUUCCUAUUUUCUUGAAAUGUAUAUUCAUGGUCUAUCUCUAUCUCUUCCUCAGGGCUGAACAACUUUUCUAGCAUCUUAUUUAUUUCUAGGGGCAGGCAGCUUGAAACAGAAAUGUAACAAAUCAAAACAAGAACACAUUGUUUUUUGAAAUGGUCACCCAUUCUCUUGCCCUGCUCUCAGGGGCAAGCAGUUUCACUUACCCCCAAGCUUCAGGCAUUCCCCAUACUGGCCACCAAAUGCUGCAGUCUGGCUGGGCACAUAUAACCAGCCACUUGCAGAUUCAAGUAGGAAUGAACUUUAUUUUCAAACUCACACAAAUGCCACCCACAAGACCCUCCAAGAACUCCACAAGAGCUCAACCGGAACUCAACCCACACGAACUCUCUAGGAACUCCGCGAGAGCUCAACCGGAACUCAAUCAACCCACAUGAACUGUCUAGGAUCUCCACGAGAGCUCAACCAGAACUCAACAGGACCUCUGCCAUAACUCAAAAAUAGCGGGCACCCAAGGCAGCAGGACACGGCCCUUCUGGCAAAAUGCCAGGCACCAUCCUGACCUGGCCAUGGCUCUCAACAUUUUCCUUUAAGUCUAGGAAGGGUCAACAAAUGUGAUGAGGUUCAUCUGUCUUUCUUAGGGAUUUUCCAGAAUAAGGCAGAGCCUACUUUACCUCUCUAGCAGCAAAUGCCUGAGGCUAGACAGAAAGGCUGCCCCAAAUUUUGGAACUUGGCCCACAGCUGAGUUUCCAAUCCUCAGGGAAACACUGGAGAGUAAAACUGAUUCUAUCUCCCUUGGUAAUGUAUUCAGAGGGAUAAAGAAGGGUGCCAUUGGCAGAUCUGGUUGGCUUCCAUGCAGAACCUUGAUAUUUUCAUAUUGAGGAAGAGAGAGUCACAACUGUUCUGAGCUUUUGGCCUCCAGAGAAUGUUUUUAAAGGCUAGCCUGUUUCUACAGGAAUCCAAAGCCCUGAAAUAAACAUGCAGUUUAGAGACAAAAGACCAGCAUUGGGGUCAGCGGAGACUUAGAGACAUUUGAACUCCUUCCAUUAAAAACAAUGACAGAAGAUCCUUGGGGACAGAGAACAAAGNGACCAUACUUACAGUGAAGGGUGCUUGAGGACCAUAGGUUGUUACAGCCUCUUUCAGCUGCUUCACUGUUUUGAAAUCUAAAGCAUGGUGAAUUUGCUGCCCUCCUGCCUCCUCAAAUACAGGGCAUGCUAAUCUUUGAGUUCCUGUCUCAGGAUCCCAUCUAUCAACUACGGGGGUUGAGGGCCACUCAGCAUA